rnacentral:sRNA from 1 species
UACUAACCCCGCGUUAGGAAUUGUAAUGACAUCCUUUUUUACUUUUUUAAAAAAGAUAUAAUGUAAAGCCCAACCCCUG